rnacentral:ncRNA from 1 species
UCAUUAUACUAACCCCUUAAUACUAGAGAUACACUUGUUGAUCUCCUCUCAAGGAGAUAUUCUUGUUCUUAUGUAAAUGCUUAUUGCUUACGAGAUGUAAUUGAUCUCCUUUAGGAGAUGUUCUUGGUUACUGACCUAGACUCCAGGCAGGAUAUCUUCCAUGGAGGAUACCAUGGAGAUUUUUUUGUUCUUGUUUCUUGUUCCAACGGGUCAUGAUAGAUAAAUCGAAGAGGGAGCCUGAGAAAAUUUUUGCCCUAUCAACUUUCGAUGGUAGGAUAGAGGCCUACCAUCGUGGUGAUGGGUGACAGAGAAUUAGGGUUCGAUUCCGGA